GAUGAUAUGCCGAGUGUGGAGAGUGAAAGCUCACUACAUGCAAAAUUUGCAUGUAGUUUGCUUAUUAAAGGAAUGGAUUGCAAAUGAAAAUUUAGUUGUUGCUUUGGUUAAAAUUGAUUUUGCAAUUUGGAAUUGCAAAAUCAAACCAAAAUUUCUUUUCUCUCCACAAGUUUUGAAAGCCAAGUUUAUCCUCCUAAAUCCAUCUCUCUCUUUAUUUUCUCCAUCGUUCGAGUCCCACAACUUGGUUCCAAGUUCGGAGAAUAGCGGGUAAACUCUAGUGGUAGUCUUGGCUUCAAGAUCGUGAGGAGAUUCGAAGAGUUGUUGAGGAGAUUACAGAAAAGAGAAAAACAUCAAAUGUGAGUUUUUGUUUUAACUCUAUCUUUGCUUAUAUUAGGGUUAUUGUGCAUGUUGAUCACUAAAUUUUGUUUAGUUGCAAUUAGAGUAAAAUUCGAUCUUUAUUCCGCUGAGCAUGUUUACCGUUUUCAUCAAGGUCAUCAUGUCGCCUUGAAUUAUACUGAUCAUCAUAGCAGAAGAACCGUCUUAAAAUUAUUGUUGUACUUUGGUGGAGCUAAGCAUCGUAGUACGAAAAAACAUGCAAAACCGAAGCAUGUUGACAAAAUGGCUAAUUCGUAGAUCUCACUCUCUUUAAGAAGUUUCGUAGCUUUGUUCGGAUGUACAAACAGACGUGAAAUGCCUUAUCGUCCCUAGGAUAAAACAACCUUUAAUUUAAUUCGUCAGUAGGAAUUGCACUAGAACCAAUUGGUAUAUCAACACUCAAUAGAUACUUAGUUGCUCGAAAAAACUUCUUUUUUUAAAAAAAAACAAAAUGAGAUAGACUAAAAGAGCAGAGAAUGAGAGAGCUUGGAAUUUUGGUGGUGUGCCAUACUCACUGUCUUCCUUUUCAUACUCACUCUGUUUUUCGAUCCAGUUUUAUUUCAAUUUUCGAGCACAAUCAGAAAGUUAUUAGUCGAUUGACUUCUAGUGGAGACCAAAUCGAGACAUAUUAUCUAGAUUGUUUUAUCCUGAGACAUUGUGUUAAUUUCAAAUUGUUUGCACAUCGAGCAGAGUCUCAAAAUGUCUUAAAGAUAACAUGAUUCGUGACUCGGUCUCUUCUUGCAAGCUUUUGUUUUGUAGUUUUUUUGUUCGUUCUCAUUAUUAUGUACCAAUCUUGCAAUUUUAGUCCUUUCAUCGAUGUAUUGUUUAUUCAUUUGUAACUGCUCCAACAAAUAAAAAAACGUCAUAUAGAUAUAAUAGGAUAUAGAGAACACAAAGAAUUUUUCGAUUUAAAAAAAACUAGGAUAUGUAUCUAAAAAGUAUCUGGAAGCAUCGAUAUCUGAUAAGUGUCUAAUAUGGAUUAUUUGCCUCACACAAAGCAUAUAUGCUUCAUAUAUUAAAAUGAUCCAAAAUUAGAAACAGAUGGACCAAAAUAGUAUCAAUAUUUAAUAAAUAUCUAAUAUGUAUUUUUUUUUGCCACACACAAGGUUAUGUGCUUCAUAUAUUAAAAUGAAUAGAUGGUCCAAAAUAAUAUUAAUAUUUAUAAACUUGUAAUUUAAUUAAACAAAAAAUGAUUUUAUCAAAGAAAUGAGAAUUUCUCCAAAACUUGGUCAACAAAUGGAUAAAACAAUUGCAUUCAACGUAUAUGAUUAGUGGUUUAUAAAAUUUGGAAAAGUCACGCACAGUCAAGUACAUCAUUAUUAUUACAAAGAUGUGAUCAAAAUUUAGAUUAUUCAAUGUUUAAGUGGGAAGUCAAUUAAAUCCUCUUUAGGCAUCUAUGCCUACUUGAACUUAUCAUUAAUAUUUAUUUUCCUCAUUUACAUUAUAUUUACCAAACUAAAAUUUACAACUUCAUGCUUUUCAUUUACAAUUUACAUUAUAGUUUUCAAUAUUUUAGAAACAAAAAGUUUAAAUGAUUUUUUUAUUUAUUGUUAAUAUAUUUAAAAGUAAAUUUCUGGACCUUUUCUUUGGAAAACUCAUAAGACUGUUUCCAUCGUGUUGUUUUUCUUUUUUUAAAAAAAGAAAAAAUUCCCACACCAAAGACCAAUUUUAUUUAUUUAUAAUAAUGCCUUCUAGAACGUCAAAAUCAAUUACCCAAACGAAUCAAACGAAGCCACGUAAUACACCAAAGGAGCCGGCUUUCCGGCUCUUUACUAUUUCCCUCCCCGAAGCUACGACUUAUCGACCUUAUCAUUGACCCACAAGCUCUCUUCUUUUUCUUCUUUCUUGAAACAAUAAACUCUUUUUUAUUUAUUUAUUUUUAUUUUAUUUUUAAGCCACAAGACAAUUCUAUUUUCGUCUCUAUCUUUCUUUAAUUUUCUUAUGAUGGAUAAUAAAAAAUAUAUAUAUUCCACUUUGUUUCAAUCAAAUACUAAUAUUAUUCUAAUAAGUCUCCUUUAAGUAAGAAUCAUUUUUAUUCAACUUUUUAAUGAAAGUUAUGUAGAAUGCACAUGGAAAAUCAAAAUUAUUAGAAUUUUUCAUUUUUUUUUCUUCAAGCUAACAACACUAUUUGAAAACAUCUUAUUAUUUUGAUAAAGUUUUAAAAUUGAAAUGUGUGAAAUUAAAAUUUUUAAAGUUAGAAACUAAAUUGGAUUGUAAAACAUCAAAUAUAAUUGAAACCUUUAAUUAGGAUGAAAUUUAAAUAAAAUACAAAAAAUGGACCAAACCAAAAUUGGACCAUUUAGUUUAGUUUCACAUUGACCUGAUAAAAUUUCUAUGAUUCAGAGAGAUUUCUUUUUAUUAUUAUUUAUUACUUUAUUUAGUUAAUGAUGUAAUGAAAAAUAAUUUUAAUUGUUCUUUGACCUCAAGUUAGUUAGUGUAAGUUUGUAUGAUUUUAUAACCAUAGUUCUAGAAGUUUAUAAUAUAAUAAUAAUAAUGUGGUAACAAUCAAGUUGAGUAGAAAAUGUGCCUAUGGUUUAUUUUUAAAUGCUUUAAUUAUACUAACAAAAUUAUAUUAACUAUAAGAUAUUUAUUUAUUAAAUUUAAGACUAUUAUUAGAGAGAUUCUAAAAAGAAAUUUGAAACGUUUUUAACUGAAAAUUACUUGGGUUUGUAGAAUGUCCUAGAGAGUGUUGAGAUUUUAAAAGCACACUGAGUUCCAAACAUGGUUUUGUCAUUAGAUUUUAAAUGGAUAUUAUAUCUUGUUUAUUCAAUAAAAGUUUACUUUUUAAAUAUCAACAGACUAUUAUUUAUAAAAAACUUAAAAUUCAUAUAUAUAUAUAUUAAAUUUCGUUUCUUUUUUUUUUUUAAUGUUUGGUUUGAAACUAGUACUAUUUUACUCGUUUUUUUAUCACUAAGUGUUAUGUUGAAAUUCUUGCUUAUUUGUUGGGUUGAUGGAUGUGUUUAACCAUUGCCUUACUUGUUUUGGUUUUUAGAUAGAAGGUUGGAUGAGUGAAAAUGGAGUGAAGGGGUGGGCUCAGCUUAGAGUUGCAUGCUUUUUAGUUUGGUUUGAGUUUUUUUAUUUUUUGUGUUUGGCCUUCAACCUAGUACUUUUCUACACGUCUCUUGGCAUUAAGAGUUGUGUUGAAGUUUUUGCUUAACUUGUGUUUGUCUUUAUUUAACAUGCUUUGAAAAGUUGAAUGAGGUUCUUGUCUGUUUAAUUGGAAUAUUACGUUAGAUGUUCUGAAUGUUGUAACAAUGUGAUUUAUUUAAAGUAAUUGUAGUUAAACUGUUUUUCGAAGAUGACGUAUGGAGAUGGUUUUUGGAGGUGACAUCUUCUCUUAUGUAUUUAUCUAUUCAAAAGCACUUUAUAGACCAUUAUUAUGUAAACUUGUUUUAUUUAAUUUUUGUAACAAAAUAUACACUAUAAAAUGCCAACUUUGUGUUAGAAUUUCAUUAUUUAUAUGAAAUUGUUUGAUUUGAUUAAUACUGUCCUUAAUCUUAGGGUUAUUCAAAUGAGUAUUUAAAAUAAUAAUAAAUAAAUAAAUGAAAAAAAAGUUGAAGAAAUUUCUCCCAACAAAUGUUGUAACACGUUGUUGCCGUCGUCGGGAGUUCCUAUCUCCACGUCUCUUUCCAUCGAGAGAAUGGUUAAGACAAAGAUGUGGUCGCAACGGCGUAAGAAACUCGUCGAGCGUUUAAUUUGCCUCAUCUCCUGACGGGUGAUGCCAUCAAAAAAUUAAAUGGCCUUCGAAAAUUUAUGAUGAAAAGAAGUCCUAACGAGCAAAAAGACACGUGGGAAGUUGGCACAAAUUCUUGAUGGUCUCUAUAUCGGAAGACCGUCGGGAAAUGGUCUCCCCGACGGAUUUUCCCCGAUCAAGCUGCUAACAACGUGUUGUUCAUUGAGAGUUCAUUUUUUGGUGCAUUUUCGAAUAAUUCCUGCAAGUUUAUAUUUCGGGAGAUAUACUUUUUCUUGUAGUGACAAAUAUAACAAACUAUCACAAUUUAUUUGUGACAUAGUGAUAAUAUGUGUGCUUAUCUUGACACAAA
rnacentral:lncRNA from 1 species